UACAGAGGUCCCGAGCGUUGUUCGGAUUCACUGGGCGUAAAGGGUGCGUAGGUGGUUGUGCAAGUCUGAUGUGAAAUCUCCGGGCUUAACCCGGAAAUGGCAUUGGAAACUGCAUGGCUAGAGAGUUGGAGGGGGGACUGGAAUACUUGGUGUAGCAGUGAAAUGCGUAGAUAUCAAGUGGAACACCAGUGGCGAAGGCGAGUCCCUGGACAACACCUGACACUGAGGCGCGAAAGCUAGGGGAGCAAACAGG
rnacentral:rRNA from 1 species